GUGGCGCAAUGGUAGCGCGCAAGACUUCUAUACAGAUUUUCCGCACUGUUAAACAGUGCAGGGAUGUAUGCAAUCUUGAGGUUGCGGGUUCGAGCCCCGCC
rnacentral:tRNA from 1 species